rnacentral:lncRNA from 1 species
UUUACUCUCUCGAAAACUCUUUUGGACUUCUUAAUCCUCUUCUUCAGAACCUCCUUUACCCUUGUCUGGAUCAAAAUAAGGCUUGUCUUAAAUACAAAAGCCUUGUCCUAAGACUAGGGAGAGAAAGGAAAGUCUUGUCCUAACUAGGAGGGGAUCCAGGAAGAGAUUUUUGGAAUGGAUUGGAAUCCCAGCAUUGUGGGCUUUUUAUAGAUGAGUAAGGGGUGCAUGGGGAAGAGCCACAACUCUUCCUCACCUCCUCAGAAGGUGGUGUGUCUUGAGAGAGGAGUUCCUUCAAACAUAAAGACUCUUCUCCAAGAGAACGUGACUCCUCCUUCACCCCGUGUGUGCUGCCUUCAAUAGGUGUUUUGGCAUCCCAAACCCUUUCAGAUCAACCUAAAAACUACCACGUAUAUCCCCAUUUGAAUUUGAAUUCAAAUGGUAGGGAUAUCUAAUAUGGGAUGCCCCUUCUACCCAUCGUAGCAGGACUCUUCAUGUGAAGAGUCAUGCAGCUUUCUUUCCUUCAUGUGUGCAGCUUUCUUUCCAUGAUUUUCUCCAUGCCAAAUUAAGUCCAGAAAAAUCCACUUCAUCCUUUAAGAUGUGUGCCAGAGAGUACUUAAUAGAAAGGAUCGAGUCAAUAUAAUGGAAGCGAGUAG